AGUUGGUGAGGUAAGGGCUUACCAAGGCGACGACGGAUAGCCGGCGUGAGAGCGUGGCCGGCCACAAGGACACUGAGAUACGGGUCCUACUCCUACGGGAGGCAGCAGUGCGGAAUUUUAGAUAAUGGAGGGAACUCUGAUCUAGCGACGCCGCGUGCAGGAAGAAGGUCUUCGGAUUGUAAACUGCUGUGGUAAGGGAAAAAUGCUAUGUAGAGUGGAAAGCUACAUAGAGGGAUGGUACCUUACUAGAAAGCCCCGGCUAACUACGUGCCAGCAGCCGCGGUAAUACGUAGGGGGCGAGCGUUACCCGGAAUCACUGGGCGUAAAGGGAGCGUAGGUGGCCUAACAUGUCAACUGUGAAAACCCGGAGCUCAACUCCGGACUUGCAGUUGAAACUGGUAGGCUUGAGGACGGUAGAGGAAGACGGAACUGCCAGUGUAGGGGUAAAAUCCUUAGAUAUUGGCAGGAACGCCGGUGACGAAGGUGGUUUUCUGGGCCGGUUCUGACACUGAUGCUCGAAAGCCAGGGGAGCGAACGGGAUUAGAUACCCCGGUAGUCCUGGCCCUAAACGAUGUUCACUAGGUGUGGGGAGCG
rnacentral:rRNA from 1 species